UUCCAUUUCCUCCUCCAGGAGACCUUCCUGACCCAGGAAUCGAACCUGCAUCUCCUGAACCGUGGGAGCAUUCUUUACCAGCUGAGACAUCGGGAAGCCUGGUAAACUGCUGCUGAAAUAUUCCACGUCCCCAGAGCCAGAGGCCCAAGAAAGAAAACCAGCUGGGACUCUGAUGACAAUGACCCCCAAGUGGCUGGUCCAGAGCAACGAAGUGGCUGUGUGACUGGCCGGCUGGCUCGGUGACGGGAAGGAGGGAAGUGAGGGAAAGCAAUCACUUGCUGUUCCAGGAACGAUGGCUGUGCCUUA
rnacentral:lncRNA from 1 species